UCAUCACGCUCGAAACGACGUCCGUUCCCAUCGUCUCCGAACUGCUGGGCCGCACGAGCGCAUUCCUCGAUGCGCAAGUCCGCGCGCGGGUCGAUGACAUCGUGCUGCGCCGCAAAUUCACCGAAGGCAGCGUCGUGAAGCAGGGCCAGCGGCUCUACAAGAUCGA
rnacentral:ncRNA from 1 species